AUAAGGUUGCUGGGAAGCGGCAGGCUUCCCGUGUAUGAUGAACCCGCCCGGCGCGACCCGUUGUUCGUCGCGGCCCCGAGGGUUCAUUUUUUG
rnacentral:sRNA from 1 species